GACGGAGGAUGCAAGUGUUAUCCGGAAUCACUGGGCGUAAAGCGUCUGUAGGUGGUUUAAUAAGUCAACUGUUAAAUCUUGAGGCUCAACCUCAAAAUCGCAGUCGAAACUAUUAGGCUAGAGUAUAGUAGGGGUAAAGGGAAUUUCCAGUGGAGCGGUGAAAUGCGUAGAGAUUGGAAAGAACACCGAUGGCGAAGGCGCUUUACUGGGCUAUUACUAACACUCAGAGGCGAAAGCUAGGGUAGCAAAUGGG
rnacentral:rRNA from 1 species